AUUGAACGCUGGCGGCAUGCCUAACACAUGCAAGUCGAACGAGUGGCGGACGGGUGAGUAAUGUAUGGGAAACUGCCUGAUGGAGGGGGAUAACUACUGGAAACGGUAGCUAAUACCGCAUACUAUCAGAUGUGCCCAGGUGGGAUUAGCUGGUUGGUGGGGUCACGGCGCACCAAGGCGACGAUCCCUAGCGGGUCUGAGAGGAUGACCAGCAACACGGGAACGGAGACACGGUCCAGACUCCUACGUGAGGCAGCAGUGGGGAAUAUUGGACAAUGGGCGAAAGCCUGAUGCAGCCAUGCCGCGUGUAUGAAGAAGGCCUUCGGGUUGUAAAGUACUUUGAGCGGGGAGGCGUUACCCGCAGAAGAAGCACCGGCUAACUACGUGCCAGCAGCCGCGGUAAUAC
rnacentral:rRNA from 1 species